AAAAAAAUUAGUUAAUUUAUAACAUUAGAUUGUCAAUCUAAAAUAAUUUACUUUAAAUAUUUUUU
rnacentral:tRNA from 1 species